rnacentral:lncRNA from 1 species
AUAUAUCCAAUGGUAUCAAUUUCAACCAACAAAAAAAGGUCUACACAAUUUUAGUUAUCAUUUGAGGUUUAUGUGGCUUUUUGGUCUUUGUCCGAAGUAAAAUAUGACUUCACUUUUGGGACCAAAAUUGACAAAAUAGUUGUAGUGAAGGACAAAAGGCAUAAUUCACGUUUUUAUUUAUUUGUUUAUUUAUUAUUAUUAUUAUUUUUUAAAUAAGGAAAAGAAAUUUGGGUAUUUAAAGAAAAAGGAUUUAAAGACACAAAGAUAAAAAACUUGGUAAUUGCCAUGAAGCUGAGAACCGAGGCCCUCAGAGUAAUCAGAACCAAAUGAUACACCCUCUCUAGGAAAAGCUUCCAACACCGGAAAAUUUUGACCCACAUUGGUCAACCUCCAUAGACCCUUUAGAAGAUUUGGUUUCAAGUGCAGUCAACUAAAUGGAAACAUGCACCCUGAUUUUGCACUCGGUUGUUCCUACAACACAAAUAAACUUUAUUAUUAUAAAGGCAAAGCAUAUACUAAUUGAUAUCAUCAGCUUUAAUAUAACAAGAUAUGUGAAGGAAUCCGCAUUAGUUGAAUUUAUGGAAGAAUGAUUUGAGAUGUUAUGCCAUCCUAUAACAAAUUCAAUCACAAUACACUUAUAAUCAUUAAAUGCUUCCUUGAUCCAAUGUCACUCUGCUAAAAUUAAUACGUAAAAGGUUGGAAUUUGGAAAGGGCUAAUGCCAUAAAAACCCUCAAAUUUUCGAAAAAUGUUUGGUUAUAUCCUAAGUCCAUUUUUAUGUCAACAAAAACCGCACAUUUAAGCAAAAAUUGUUAUAAUUGCACUUUUUUCCGAUUUUACCCUCUAUGACAUUAGGGGGUGUUUGGUUACAAAUCAACACAUGUUAAAGGAUGUUUGGUAUUAGGGGAUGUUUGGGAAAGCACCUCCAGUGCUCGCUGCUUCAAAGAAAUCAGCGGAGAACAAUCAGGUUUGCUACCAUUGGCCAAUUUUGUAGCUCUUAUUCUCUCUACUCAAUCUCCGUAUCUGUUGGUGAGCUUGAUUAGGGUUUGAUAGCCAUAUGCAAAUCUGAUUUCAUUUGAUUAUUAAAGUUUCAAAUUUGGGUUUUUUUUUCCUGGGUUUGUGUUGAAGCUGUAUUUGGUUUCAAAUAUGAGGAAAUCCAAAAUCGAAAUUAAACGAAGGGCAUUAGGAAUCCUCUUUUCUUUGGUCAAGAGGAUGAUUUCAGAUGAUGACCAGAUAGAUAAGAAGACCUGAUGAUCUUUAAAAUGCCAUGGUUGUUCUUGCACAAUGUUGACAAAAACAUAACAGAGGAGAUGAUGGUGGCGUGAUAGCUAACGAAGAAAAUGCCCUAAUCUUUUCACCCCUAUUCCAUUACUUGUUUGUGAUUUCCUUGGGCUAACUGGAAAUGCACAAUCAUUGGAUUUAAGUGUUUUUUACUUUUAUGUUUGGUUUUGAGGUUUGAUUACUGUUUGAUUUCAUGUUUGAAUAUAAUUUUAAGGUUAGAUUUCAGAUUUGAAUAUGAGUUUGAGGUGUGGUCGUUGAAUCGGUUCUUUUAGCAGGAAGGAGGAGGAGGUGAUCGUUAGGAGCACGGUUCUUCUUCUUCUUCUUCGAAUAUAAUUUCCCGAUCCACCCUGUCGCUGCUUCAUUUUCCCCUCGAUUGGUGGUUGCCGACGACGAGAGAAGGACCACGAAGGGUCACCGGAAGUUGCAGGUCGCCGGAUUAUCCCUGAUGCCAAACAUCCCCUAACAUGUGUCUAUCUGUAACCAAACACCCCCUAAUGCCAUAGAAGGGUAAAAUCGGAAAAGAGGGCAAUAAAACACCGAUUCAAUAUGUAAAACUCCAAUAAGGUUUUAAUGUUUAUUUUUUGGUUGUAUGCCGUAUCAGAAAACUAAAUAUUAUCAACAGAUGUGGUGAAAAUUCAUGCAAAGGCACAACAUUAUUCUAAUUCAAAUAGGACAGAGUUUCCCACUAUACACAUUUACUCAUUUAGACAUGAUUAUAUCAUUUGUAAUUAAUAUAUUUUGACAAUAGAAAUAACCAUAAACUACCUUUUUAUCUCUCGACUUUUUCUACUGUUUUCCGUCUUUUUCUAUGCCAGGCCAAAAGUAUAGUGUUUAAACAAUGAAAAAUAAUUAAUAUAUACAACAGCUUAACAAAUCAUCUGAGUAUGCCAAUCUUGGGAGACAAUUAAUUAUGAUAGUAAAAAGUCAGUUCACUUUUUUUNUUUUUUUUUUUUUUUUUUUUUUUUUUUUUUUUUUUUUUUUUUUAGCUCUUGGAAUUUUUGAGCAGCUUCUUGUUCACAACCACCAAAAAGGGAAAGGAACUUAUGCACCAACAUGAAGAUGCAACAGGGGAUUAAAUGUCAAAUGGGUAAAGUAUUAUCUAAAUAAAUAAUGUUAAAUAUUUAUUUAAUAAUGUUAAAUAUUUAUUUAAUAAUACGAAAGCCCUUAAAAUGUUAUGACUUCCUGGUAAAAAUACCAUUCCUUACCUUUCUAUAUUUGCUAAUUUGUUUUCAUCUAGAAGACUAGAACAAUAGAUUUGAAAUACAUAGCCGAUAAUGGGUUUUAUCCCAUAUAUAUUUUCCAAAAUAAGAUACCAACAUGCUUUGCCUUUUUCACUGAUAUGGGCAUUGCACUUUAACUUUUAUCCAUAAUAGCAUAGAGUUAAAUAUUUUACCCAUAAUACCAACAUACUUACAACUUACAACAAUACACAUUACUUUUAUCCAUAAUAGCAAAGAGUUAAAUAUUUUACCCAUAACACCAACAUGCUUACAAGUUACAAAAAUACACAGUCCACUUCCACGAAUACACUGUCAUUCCAUUUAUUCGUUGAGGAUUUUCAUCAAACAAGUAGCAUGCUAUAUACAAGAUCUUCACAAAUCAUAAUUCAGUUGCGUGGCAUGUAUUACCCACAAGAAUCUAUUACGAUUAAUAAUCCACUGAUGAAUAAAUUAACAAUAAGCAUCUCUUUUUGAGCACAUUUUAUAUAAAUAACCCGGUAUAAACUACAAAAAAUUGUAACGACAUAGGUGAUCUGUUUGUCUAUUUUAUAUCUUUGCUUCUUUCCUGAUGCAUAGUUGCAUCUACCUAAUAUUUGAAACCAAGAAAGAAACAACUAAAGAAAAUACAUUGGAAAUCAAUACCUACCCCCAACAGGCAUUUCAUCGAUCACCCUUAACGUAUCCAAACUGAUAGCAGCUUCAUAAACCCAGAUACCUCAAACCAACGUACAUAUAAUCGACAACCAAAAAACUGGCAAACCAAAAGGUAAGGCGGAGAUGUCAGCUGUCCCCACAGGCGGCGACGCCAGCUGCUCAUACCAAAUCAACCCACAAAGCGCUUUAAUCAUAAACCCUCAUCACUCUCGAUUUUUCCAGCUUCUCUCGUCUCUUAAUCAAUAGGAACAAAUUACACACAACGGAUGGAUGCGAUUGUUGUGAAUAGGAAGUCCGAUAGUAUGACUCAGGAGUAAUCAACCAAGACGUGGUGGUAAAAGAGGAUUCAUGAGGUGGCAUGCAGCUUCGGGGGAACCGCCGGCAAAGAUGAAACCCCAAGCUCCUGAGUCCUGCGUCAGCUAGAGGCAAGGAUGACCGGAAAGCAGGCACCUGUUGCUUGUUGACCAGCAGACGACAUUUUCAGGAAGUAGACGUCGAGAAAUGGGAAUUUGGAUUUUAUCUUAAAAAUCAAAAUAAAUUAAAAUACAUUAUUUACUUUUUAAAAUAAAUAAAUAAAAGUUUGGCAAAAGGAAAAAGAUUUUUAAAACAAUUUCUUCUUAACAUUCAAAAAUAAGAUUUUAAAAAAUUAAAAUUUGUAAUUUUUCUAAAUCUUUUAUUGAUUUUUUAGUCUUUAAAGUUAAUAUUAUCUUAAAAUACCCUUUAAACAAGUCAAACACAUUUUUUUUGAUAAAAAACUUAUUGACUUGACUUUUUCCCAAAAAAAAAUCCAAACAAUUUUUUAAAAACUUAUUUUUCUAACACUAUAAAUAAAUAAGCUAUUUCGACUAAAAGUCCUUUUGAGUAUCAAAAUAUAUCCCAAACACCUUAUGUAAUGCCCUCUUCCGAAUCGUUUUGUAAUUCGGGGACGUGACCCGAUGACCAGUUAUCAU